GAACGCUGGCGGCGUGCUUAACACAUGCAAGUCGAGCGGAAAGGCCCUUCGGGGUACUCGAGCGGCGAACGGGUGAGUAACACGUGAGUAACCUGCCCCUGACUCUGGGAUAAGCCUGGGAAACUGGGUCUAAUACCGGAUAUGACUACUUCGGGCAUCCGAUGGUGGUGGAAAGUUUUUUCGGUUGGGGAUGGACUCGCGGCCUAUCAGCUUGUUGGUGGGGUAGUGGCCUACCAAGGCGACGACGGGUAGCCGGCCUGAGAGGGCGACCGGCCACACUGGGACUGAGACACGGCCCAGACUCCUACGGGAGGCAGCAGUGGGGAAUAUUGCGCAAUGGGCGAAAGCCUGACGCAGCGACGCCGCGUGGGGGAUGACGGCCUUCGGGUUGUAAACCUCUUUCAGCAGGGACGAAGUUGACGUGUACCUGUAGAAGAAGCGCCGGCUAACUACGUGCCAGCAGCCGCGGUAAUACGUAGGGCGCAAGCGUUGUCCGGAAUUAUUGGGCGUAAAGAGCUCGUAGGUGGCUU
rnacentral:rRNA from 1 species